GGAGGUUGGUAUUCUCUCACUAGACUCUUCUUCUUGUCCUUAGUUUGCACAGGCUUUAUCACCUCAAGCUUUGGCUCCUUCCUGACUAGCUCAUCCUACACAAUAACAUCAUUAUCAGCCAUAGGUAAAGAACUAGAUAACUGCUUACCUGAUCUCAUGGUGAUAUCCUUGACAUGCUCCCUCGAGUUUGACUCUAUGGUACUAGUAAGCGUC
rnacentral:lncRNA from 1 species